UCUUCCGCAAUGGACGAAAGUCUGACGGAGCAACGCCGCGUGAGUUAUGAAGGCUUUCGGGUCGUAAAACUCUGUUGUUAGGGAAGAACAAGUGCUAGUUGAAUAAGCUGGCACCUUGACGGUACCUAACCAGAAAGCCACGGCUAACUACGUGCCAGCAGCCGCGGUAAUACGUAGGUGGCAAGCGUUAUCCGGAAUUAUUGGGCGUAAAGCGAGAGCAGGUGGUUUCUUAAGUCUGAUGUGAAAGCCCACGGCUCAACCGUGAAGGGUCAUUGGAAGCUGGGAGACGUGAGCGCAGAAGAGGAAAGUGGAAUUCCAUGUGUAGCGGUAAAAUGCGUAGAGAUAUGGAGGAACACCAGUGGCGAAGGCGACUUUCUGGUCUGUAACUGACACUGAGGCGCGAAAGCGUGGGGAGCAAACAGG
rnacentral:rRNA from 1 species